GGUAACUUAUUCUACUAAUCAAUAAUAAUGGAUCUAAGAAUCAUAAAUAAAUGUAUAAUAAAUAAUAAAAGUUAAAUAUAUAUCUUUUGUCGCCCCAACAAAAAAGUCUAAUCAACAGCAGUAAAAAUGAAACACAACAGCCAUUAAAAUUGACCAUUAAAGCUCUAUAGGGUCUUCUCGUCUUCCAAAAGAAUUUGAGCCUUUUAACUCAAAAGCUAAAUUUUAACUUAUUUAAUUGAGACAGUUAGCGCCUCGUCAAGCCCUUCAUUCCAGCCCCCUAUUAAAAGACUAAUGAUUAUGCUACCUUUGCACGGUCAACAUACCGCGGCCGUUAAAUAAUUAUCACCGGGCAGGCUUGACCUCAUAUAAUAAAACAAGAGGAC
rnacentral:rRNA from 1 species